rnacentral:rRNA from 1 species
AUUGAACGCUGGCGGCAGGCCUAACACAUGCAAGUCGAACGAGUGGCGGACGGGUGAGUAAUGUCUGGGAAAAUGCCCGAUGGCGGGGGAUAACUACUGGAAACGGUAGCUAAUACCGCAUACCAUCGGAUGUGCACAGAUGGGAUUAGCUUGUGGGUGGGGUAACGGCUCAACUAGGCGACGAUCCCUACCUGGUCUGAGAGGAUGACCAGCACAGUGGGAAUGGGGACAGGGUCCAGACUCCUACGUGUGGCGGAAGGGGGGAAUGUUGGACAAGGGGGGCAGGCCUGAUGCAGACAGGCCGGGUGUAUGAAGAGGGCCUGCGGGUUGUAAGGUAUUUUCAGCGGGGAGGCGUUACCCGCAUAGAAAGCACCGGCUAACUCCGUGCCAGCAGCCGCGGUAAUUC